rnacentral:misc_RNA from 1 species
AAGUCGUAACAAGGUUUCCGUAGGUGAACCUGCGGAAGGAUCAUUAACACGUGAUACUCACGUAUUAACAACCCACCGAGAAUUUGUUAUUAUCCUAGUUUAAGAUGCAGGUAGACGAAGUGAGGAAAUGCUAUUGAUCGCAAGAUCAUGACUCAUUAGUCGUUCUUAGGUCCGCCCUGGAGCUUGCGCUGACAACUAGUUGACGAGUUACGACUGCUUAUUAAGCCUGUAGCAUAGCUUGCAGAUCGUAAUGACCUUUAUUAACCCCUUUUACUAUUAUUUACUGAUUUGUACGUUUAUAUGAAUUCCUGAUCGAAAGAUUGGUUGUAGUUUAUAUAGAUGUCGUAUAUUACUAAUACGAAACAACUCUUAGCAACGGAUAUCUUGGUUCUC